rnacentral:rRNA from 1 species
GAUGAACGCUGGCGGCGUGCUUAACACAUGCAAGUCGAGCGAAGCACUUAAGAAUGAUUCUUCGGAUGAAUUCUUUUGUGACUGAGCGGCGGACGGGUGAGUAACGCGUGGGUAACCUGCCUCAUACAGGGGGAUAACAGUUAGAAAUGGCUGCUAAUACCGCAUAAGACCACAGUACUGCAUGGUACAGUGGUAAAAACUCCGGUGGUAUGAGAUGGACCCGCGUCUGAUUAGGUAGUUGGUGAGGGAACUGCCCACCAAGCCGACGAUCAGUCGCCGACCGGAGGUGGAGACCGGCCACAUUUGGACUGAGACACGGCCCAGACUCCGACGGGAGGCAGCAGUGGGGAAUAUUGCACAAUGGGCGAAAGCCUGAUGCAGCGACGCCGCGUGAAGGAUGAAGUAUUUCGGUAUGUAGACUUCUAUCAGCAGUGAAGAAAAUGACGGUACCUGACUAAGAAGCCCCGGCUAACUACGUGCCAGCCGCCGCGGUAA